GACGAACGCUGGCGGCGUGCUUAACACAUGCAAGUCGAACGGAAAGGCCUGCUUUCCCUUGUGGAUUGCGGGUACUCGAGUGGCGAACGGGUGAGUAACACGUGAGUGAUCUGCCCCCAACUUGGGUAUAAGCCUGGGAGACUGGGUCUAAUUCCCGAUAGGACUGCAGGGUGGUGCCUGUGGUGGCAAACGAUUUUCUAGUGGUUGGGGAUGAGCUCGCGGCCUAUCAGCUUGUUGGUGGGGUAAUGGCCUACCAAGGCGGCGACGGGUAGCCGGCCUGAGAGAGUGGACGGGCACAUUGGGACUGAGAUACGGCCCAGACUCCUACGGGAGGCAGCAGUGGGGAAUAUUGCACAAUGGGCGGAAGCCUGAUGCAGCGACGCCGCGUGGGGGAUGACGGCCUUCGGGUUGUAAACUCCUUUCGACCGCGAGGAAGCCACCUGGUUGGAAGGGUGGUGACGGUAGUGGUAGAAGAAGCACCGGCUAACUACGUG
rnacentral:rRNA from 1 species